rnacentral:rRNA from 1 species
UGGGGAAUUUUGGACAAUGGGCGAAAGCCUGAUCCAGCAAUGCCGCGUGUGUGAAGAAGGCCUUCGGGUUGUAAAGCACUUUUGUCCGGAAAGAAAUCCUUGGCUCUAAUACAGUCGGGGGAUGACGGUACCGGAAGAAUAAGCACCGGCUAACUACGUGCCAGCAGCCGCGGUAAUACGUAGGGUGCAAGCGUUAAUCGGAAUUACUGGGCGUAAAGCGUGCGCAGGCGGUUUGCUAAGACCGAUGUGAAAUCCCCGGGCUCAACCUGGGAACUGCAUUGGUGACUGGCAGGCUAGAGUAUGGCAGAGGGGGGUAGAAUUCCACGUGUAGCAGUGAAAUGCGUAGAGAUGUGGAGGAAUACCGAUGGCGAAGGCAGCCCCCUGGGCCAAUACUGACGCUCAUGCACGAAAGCGUGGGGAGCAAACAGGAUUAGAUACCCUGGUAGUCCACGCCCUAAACGAUGUCAACUAGUUGUUGGGGAUUCAUUUCCUUAGUAACGUAGCUAACGCGUGAAGUUGACCGCCUGGGGAGUACGGUCGCAAGAUUAGAACUCAAAUGAAUUGA